rnacentral:tRNA from 1 species
CCGUCAUUAGCUCAACUGGAUAGAGCAUCAGGCUAUUAACCUGAGGGUAGUGGGUUCGAAUCCCGCAUGACGUGCCA